UGGGGAAUAUUGCACAAUGGGCGCAAGCCUGAUGCAGCAACGCCGCGUGAACGAUGAAGGUCUUCGGAUCGUAAAGUUCUGUUGCAGGGGAAGAUAAUGACGGUACCCUGUGAGGAAGCACCGGCUAACUACGUGCCAGCAGCCGCGGUAAUACGUAGGGGGCUAGCGUUAUUCGGAUCUACUGGGCGUAAAGGGUGCGUAGGUGGUCUUUCAAGUCGGUGGUUAAAGGCUACGGCUCAACCGUAGUUAGCCUCCGAAACUGGAAGACUUGAGUGCAGGAGAGGAAAGUGGAAUUCCCAGUGUAGCGGUGAAAUGCGUGGAUAUUGGGAGGAACACCAGUAGCGAAGGCGGCUUUCUGGACUACAACUGACACUGAGGCACGAAAGCGUGAGUAGCAAACAGG
rnacentral:rRNA from 1 species